GAGAGAGGUGGCCCGCCUUCGGGACUGUAGACAACGGGGGGCGUGUGUGUGGCCACCUCUCGUGUUGAGAUGUGGGGUUAUAUCCCCCGCCAAGAGCGCCCCCCUUCUUAUGUGGCCCCCACGUUAUGGCGGGGACUCCUAAGAAAAUGGCGGGGGAUACUCUGGAGAAAGGGGGGAAGAACGCCAGUCCUCCUGCCCCCUUUGUACCGGGCUUCCCCCCUGCUUCCAUGGGCACAUACGAAGACUGCGAAACCGUGAAGAGGAGCGAAUCCCUUAAGCUGGUCUCAAUUCCGGAUUGGGUCUGCCACCUCGACCCCGUGAAGUCGGAAUCGCUAGUAAUCGCGGAUCAGAACGCCUGCGGGAAAUACGUUCCCGGCCUGGUAACCACCCCCGAA
rnacentral:rRNA from 1 species